AUGAUUGUCCAUGGUGGAAAGAGAAAGACUCUGAGUAGUAAAGGCAAGACUGUUGUUUUCAAAGAUACACUUGGAGGCAAUGAUGUUAUUUUUCAGAUUUUAGAUCAGACAAGAGAUACUGAUAAUGCAGUCAUGGUGAGACUCUUCUUUUACGCCUAUUGUUUGAGAAAAAGUGAAUCUGAGCCUUCCUUCCCCGUGAAACUCUCUAAUUAG